rnacentral:rRNA from 1 species
UACGUAGGGGGCAAGCGUUGUCCGGAUUUAUUGGGCGUAAAGAGCGUGUAGGCGGCCAUGUAGGUCAGCUGUGAAAACUCGAGGCUCAACCUCGAGACGUCGGUUGAAACCACCUGGCUAGAGUCCGGAAGAGGAGAGUGGAAUUCCUGGUGUAGCGGUGAAAUGCGCAGAUAUCAGGAGGAACACCGGUGGCGAAGGCGGAUCUCUGGGCCUGUCCUGACGCUGAGGCGCGAAAGCUAGGGGAGCGAACAGG